rnacentral:rRNA from 1 species
AUUGAACGCUGGCGGCAGGCCUAACACAUGCAAGUCGAGCGAGCGGCGGACGGGUGAGUAAUGCCUGGGAAUUGCCCUGUCGAGGGGUAUAACAGUUGGAAACGACUUCUAAUACCGCAUACGAUUGGAUUGCCCAGGUGGGAUUAGCUAGUUGGUGGGGUAAUGGCCCACCAAGGCCACGAUCCCUAGCUGGUCGGAGAGGAUGAUCAGCCACACUGGGACUGAGACACGGACCAGACUCCUACGGGAGGCAGCAGUGGGGAAUAUUGCACAAUGGGGGAAACCCUGAUGCAGCCAUGCCGCGUGUAUGAAGAAGGCCUUCGGGUUGUAAAGCACUUUCGGCAGAGAGGCGGUACCUGCAGAAGAAGCACCGGCUAACUCCGUGCCAGCAGCCGCGGUAAUAC